rnacentral:pre_miRNA from 1 species
AGGAGGAACAACCGCAGUGGCGGGGCCAGCUCUGGAGCCCUAGAGUCAGCUCCCGUAGUAACCACAGAGCUCCCUGUCUGCAGGGCCUGGAGGCUCCCGGUCAGG